UUGUCUCAGACCUGUUUGUGCUG
rnacentral:miRNA from 1 species